rnacentral:rRNA from 1 species
CCCUUAGAGUUUGAUCCUGGCUCAGGAUGAACGCUAGAUACAGGCUUAACACAUGCAAGUCGAGGGGCAGCAUGAACUUAGCUUGCUAAGUUUGAUGGCGACCGGCGCACGGGUGAGUAACACGUAUCCAACCUGCCGAUGACUCGGGGAUAGCCUUUCGAAAGAAAGAUUAAUACCCGAUGGCAUAGUUCUUCCGCAUGGUGGAACUAUUAAAGAAUUUCGGUCAUCGAUGGGGAUGCGUUCCAUUAGGUUGUUGGCGGGGUAACGGCCCACCAAGCCUUCGAUGGAUAGGGGUUCUGAGAGGAAGGUCCCCCACAUUGGAACUGAGCCACGGUCCAAACUCCUACGGGAGGCAGCAGUGAGGAAUAUUGGUCAAUGGACGAGAGUCUGAACCAGCCAAGUAGCGUGAAG